AAUAAAAAAAAAAACAGUAUAAAUAUAUCUAUAACUAACAACAGUUUUGGUUUCCGUCAACAGCACUACUAGGUACUCGUAUCUUCUGGCUGAGGGAAUCUACGAGUACUUCUGUGACAGCUAUAUGAAUUAUAUUAUGAAAAGUCUAGACAGGCGGGCUGUAUGUAAGUGUAGAGCUGUAGAGCGAGCCCUUGCCGUUUAAUCUUUCGUUUCCGUCAUACGUUAUAAUUAUACCGCUUAAAGGGCAUUGAGGUUACCUCGCGCGGAAGAUGUACAAACUCGGAGCUAAAAAUACUCGGAUUCAGAAGAAAAUUUUCCACUUACAAGCAAACCUCCCGGGUGCGUAUCAUCGCGGAUUUUCUGAGACUUGCCGAUUUUGUCAACAAAAUGUAAUUUAAGUUUUUACUUAUUUAUUUUAUUUAUGUUCACGAGACUAAGCUGCAUAUGCAUGCCUGUGUAUCCUACCACUAAGGAGACGGGAACUUCUGGGCCCAAGUUGUAAUAGGUUGAAAGAUAGCUUAAAAAAUCCGUUAUUUUUUUCUACUAAAUCAUUUAAAAAAUCAGCUCAAUUCACAAUCUGGAAGAUGAGAAAUGUAAAAAAUAAGAUAAGAUCAAAAAUAAAAUAGGUAAUCGAUAAUUUUAAUCGAUUUGUAUGCAUAUCAAUUUUACAUAAAAAUAUAGAAGAGGCUAAUGGGGAUAUAAAUAUAGUAACAAUAUUAAAAACUAUUUAGUUCAAUUAAAUUAAUCUACUGUGAAUCAAGAGAUAUAAGUAAUAAAUAGAAAUCUAAAAAUCGAUUCUCAUUUACAAAAUCGUUUCACGACUCUAUUUUUAUCUAUGUUGACAGUGACAUGACACUGACAGCAGUCCCGGCGACCGGCGUAUGCGUUUAAAAAACUUUGUUUACACGUUUGACUUUGGCUCCUUAGUUUGGAUUUAUUUGCCGGCUUAUCGAUUGGAAAUCGACAUCAUGGGUCUUUGUGUGAACUGUGGCAUAGAAAAGAAAAAGGAAAAAGCAACUACUAGUUGUAAUACCACAGGCAGACGAGUCUUGAAUGACGAAAUGAUUCUCUUAGUGAUUCGUCGAUGGCGUACACCGCAGCCUGUAAACAACAGUGACUAUAUUUGCUAAGCUUGCUGGAACAAACAUCAGCUAUUGAUCAACCAAGACAAUUUGGCCACCGUAAUGUUUGCCUCCGCUGUGGUCGCUCUGUUGCAUCACAAGUCACUCAUCUGCUUCCUACAGGCUCAUCUUGUGAACUGAGAAUUUAUAAGGCCAUAGAAGAAUGUAUUAUGCCUCAAACUAUAAAACAAGGAAGCCACAUCUGCCAUAAUUGUUGGGUGGCUGCAGACAGGGCUGCUGUCCAUAUAGUCUCAGGCCCAUCAACUUCUUCCCGAGUUCUAACUGAGCCUCCUGCUAGCCAGCCUGGAGAAGAUAGAAACAACCAACCAGAACCUACUAUUGUAUUACCAGGAUAUAUGAGAGCUGUUCCUCUUUUUAAAGUAUUAUGUUCCUGAGAAUAAUCGUCUAUGUGAUAUUCAUUUAGUUAUUGAAGGCUGGGAUGUAAUGAUAAUUUAAAUGUUUUUCCCCAGCUAACCCACAGUGAACUAAUUCUCAUACCAUUAGGUAUUUAUCAAAUUGUUUCAAAAAUGUUGUUUGCUUUGUUAAAAAGCAGGCACGUUCAUAUUAUGGAGAGAAUGUAAGGGGUAACGAUGGUUAUUUAAUAGAAGUGUGCAGGGAGGUCAGCAGUAGCCUACUUCGAGAGCUGUCGGCUUCAAAUAGCUCAUGGCUACUUCGGGGAUAUAAGUCGAAAAACUUAUUUUGUUUAUUGGUAGAGAAGCAAUAUUGAAUGAUUAUUUCAAUUGCAUUGUAGGCAAAAGGGCUGUAGGCUUCUGCGCACAUGUUAUGUCAAUAAUAUAGUACCUUAGUCGGGCUAGGUAUCAAGAAA